rnacentral:lncRNA from 1 species
CCCCUCUGGGUGGCUGGCCCCUCUGGCUAGCUCUGACCUGGAGGAGUUCAGCCUUUGGUUUCAGUAAAAUCUGCUACCCUGUGGAAUCCUCCCACUGGCCUGUUAUCUCCCCCUUAAUUUCUGGGGCAAAUUGCAUUAAAUGCUUUCCUUCCUCCCACAGUGGGCCAGGCAGGAGAGAGGCUGUUAGCUGCAGGCUAGGGAGUGUAGCCCCGGAUUCUCACCUGGCAACCCCAGUAAUGAGCACUGCAGAGACAGCCACAGACACCCUUAUUGACCAGGAAGAAGUCAGGAGCCCAAAGGCAGAGAACCAAGGGCUGCGGGCCUGGAGGGAACCCAGGGAAGCCUAGACAGCCAGAGGCAGGCAGGCAAUUAAAGGAGGGGGUGGAGUUUUCAAUUAACAGCUCUUCUGCUAGAAGCAGGUAAUUAAUGGAUUAGCAAGGCUGUUAGCAAGGCUGCUUGCUGCCAGUGAGGAACCUGGCAGGUGCUGCCUUGGAGAAGGAGGACCAGGCUCCAGAUUCCACAGGAAGGAAAGGACUCUUCAGAGGCAGGAUCCUGAGGGCAGCUGAGAGUCAUGGGACUCAGCAGGGACACAGUGAGCAGGCUGGAAGGGCGGGAGGCAGGCCAGAGGGGAUGGGGCAGUAUAAUCCCACUGUCCCCUGGCCUCGCAGGGUCCCUGGUUUGCAGAGCCCUCUUUGCCUGGGAUGGGCUAAGGAGGCAGUGUAUGAGAAUAUCUGGGGGUCAUGGUGUUGACACCCCUGGAAUUGGCACAUUACCACACAGCUCACACGUUUUCACAGUGGUUUAGGGGGGAAGCUGCAUAAGGCGGGGCUGACAGCAAGGACUUUGACAUUAGACACGCUUCAGUUAAGCCUCGCUCCCACUUCCCAAUCUAGGGGACUAGGGGAUCCUCAGACAGCCCAGAUGUUCCUCAGACUACUCAGCACCUUUCUAGUUAGGCAGGAUCAUGCCAAAUUCUAAAGAAGCCAGUACGCACCUCCAUCUGUGUCUUCCCCUGCCAGGGAGUUGGCAGAGGCCACUGUUCCAGACAGCAGAGCCUCAAUCAGCCUGAAUCCCUGAGCGACCUGCAUGGAGCAGAUUCCCUCGCCAGCCCCCAUGAGUGGGAGUGAGAGUCCAGAGAUCUGCUGGGGGAUGGUGUGAGCCCAAAGAAGCCGAUUUCCUUCUUGAAGGGGCUGAGAAGAAGGGAGACUGUGACUUGACCAAGCCAAUCGGCAAACUACCUUCCUUCCCAACAGGAGUUGAUUUGUUCAGGAGGGGGCAUGUGACAAAAGCUGGGCCACUCAGAGCCCAUCUAAGGACUUCACUGAAAUGCUGACAUAAAGCAGCCACUUGUGCCACAGGGGGAAAGCCAGCCUCAAAUGAAACUGUCUCGCAAAGAAAUAGAGAUGAAUGACUUGUAGAGAACUGGAAACAGAAACAAAAUGAAACUUGCAGAGAAAAUAUUGCAAGUAAAUGUUGAACCUCUGGAUCGAACCAUGGCUGAGUCCCUCCUGGCUCUGACUUUUCAGUUAGAUCUCCAAGAGGACCCUCCUGCCUCUGCUUCUCUUCCUCCCCUGAAGUCAAUUUUGCAGUGUGCUGGUCAGCCUCAUCCAGCCCCUCUUUUCUGGGAACUGCUCUAACUCUAUGGCUGGAUUGACUGGCCAAGAGACAGACAUCAGGGUGAGCUGGAUCAUCAGACAGUCUCUCCUAGGAAUGUGAAAUACGAAUUCAGAGAGACUGGCAGCCCAUUGUUCAUGGGAAUGCAGAAGCUGUGAGGCUGAGAAACCCCUUUCCAUCCAGAGGGAAAGAAGGGUCCAGUUUCCUCUGAAGUUUGCAAGGACACAUGGAAGGUCAGCAGAAACUUGGCCAUCUCAGUGUCCUGGUGGGUGAUUUUUACGAGGAUUUCUCAUCACAGAGGAUGG